UACGUAGGGGGCAAGCGUUAUCCGGAAUCACUGGGCGUAAAGGGAGUGUAGGCGGCUUAGCAAGCCAGGUGUGAAAGGCAUUGGCUCAACCAAUGUAAGCACUUGGAACUGUUAGGCUUGAGUGCAGGAGAGGAAAGUGGAAUUCCUAGUGUAGCGGUGAAAUGCGUAGAUAUUAGGAGGAACACCAGUGGCGAAGGCGACUUUCUGGACUGUAACUGACGCUGAGGCUCGAAAGCGUGGGGAGCGAACAGG
rnacentral:rRNA from 1 species